CGGCCACAUUGGGACUGAGACACGGCCCAGACUCCUACGGGAGGCAGCAGUGGGGAAUAUUGCACAAUGGGGGAAACCCUGAUGCAGCGACGCCGCGUGGAGGAAGAAGGUUUUCGGAUUGUAAACUCCUGUUGUUGAGGAAGAUAAUGACGGUACUCAACAAGGAAGUGACGGCUAACUACGUGCCAGCAGCCGCGGUAAAACGUAGGUCACAAGCGUUGUCCGGAAUUACUGGGUGUAAAGGGAGCGCAGGCGGGCGAUCAAGUUGGAAGUGAAAUCCAUGGGCUCAACCCAUGAACUGCUUUCAAAACUGGUCGUCUUGAGUAGUGCAGAGGUAGGCGGAAUUCCCGGUGUAGCGGUGGAAUGCGUAGAUAUCGGGAGGAACACCAGUGGCGAAGGCGGCCUACUGGGCACCAACUGACGCUGAGGCUCGAAAGUGUGGGUAGCAAACAGGAUUAGAUACCCUGGUAGUCCACACCGUAAACGAUGAUUACUAGGUGUUGGGAGAUUGACCCUCUCAGUGCCGCAGUUAACACAAUAAGUAAUCCACCUGGGGAGUACGACCGCAAGGUUGAAACUCAAAGGAAUUGACGGGGGCCCGCACAAGCAGUGGAGUAUGUGGUUUAAUUCGACGCAACGCGAAGAACCUUACCAAGUCUUGACAUCCUCUGACGAACGUAGAAAUACGUUUUCUCUUCGGAGCAGAGAGACAGGUGGUGCAUGGUUGUCGUCAGCUCGUGUCGUGAGAUGUUGGGUUAAGUCCCGCAACGAGCGCAACCCUUAUGGUCAGUUACUACGCAAGAGGACUCUGGCCGGACUGCCGUUGACAAAACGGAGGAAGGUGGGGAUGACGUCAAAUCAUCAUGCCCUUAUGACUUGGGCUACACACGUACUACAAUGGCGUUAAACAAAGAGAAGCAAGACCGCAAGGUGGAGCAAAACUCAGAAACAACGUCCCAGUUCGGACUGCAGGCUGCAACUCGCCUGCACGAAGUCGGAAUUGCUAGUAAUCGUGGAUCAGCAUGCCACGGUGAAUACGUUACCGGGCCUUGUACACACCGCCCGUCACACCAUGAGAGCCGGGGGGACCCGAAGUCGGUAGUCUAACCGCAAGGAGGACGCCGCCGAAGGUAAAACUGGUGAUUGGGGUGAAGUCGUAACAAGGUAGCCGUAGGAGAACCUGCGGCUG
rnacentral:rRNA from 1 species